AUUGAACGCUAGCGGGAUGCUUUACACAUGCAAGUCGAACGAGUGGCGGACGUGUUAGUUAUAUAUCGGAACGGGCCCAGGAGCGGGGGAUAACUACUCGAAAGUGAGGCUACUACCGCAUACUAUUGGAGCGGCCGAUAUCGGAUUAGCUAGUUGGCGGGGUAAAGGCUCACCAAGGCCACGAUCCGUAGUUAGUUUGAGAGGACGACCAGCCACAAUGGGACUGAGACACGGCCCAGACUCCUACGUGAGGCAGCAGUGGGGAAUUUUGGACAAUGGGGGAAACCCGGAUCCAGCCAUCCCGCGUGUAUGAGAAGGCCUUCGGGUUGUAAAGUACUUUUGGCAGAGAAGCGGUAUCUGCAGAAUAAGCACCGGCUAACUACGUGCCAGCAGCCGCGGUAAUAC
rnacentral:rRNA from 1 species